AGCUUUGUGCAGUGGCAGUAUUGCAACCAAUGAGGUUUAUCCGAGGCAAAAUUAUUGCUAAUUGAAAACUUUUCCCAGAAAAAGAUUUUUUUCUCUUAUUCUGACAUGAAAGAACAUAAAUGGUUUCAAUAAGUUGUUACUG
ensembl:snRNA U4 U4 spliceosomal RNA